CGGGACGUAGCGCAGCCUGGAAGCGCACCUGAAUGGGGUUCAGGGGGUCGGAGGUUCAAAUCCUCUCGUCCCGACCA
rnacentral:tRNA from 1 species